UAUGAAGGGCAGUUCCCCUCCACCCGCUCUCUUGCCUGCCUUCACGUAAAAUGUGGCUUGGUUCCCCUUCUUCCUCUGCCAUGAUUGUGAGGCCUCCCCAGCCAGGUGGAAUUGUGACAAAAGAGAGGGAGAAUGGAUAAAUCGCAUUCCACUCAACCGCCUCAGUCUGAAGAUGACAUACAUAAUUUCUGCCUACAUCCCAUUGCUUCCCUUGCUUUCUUUUGGAUUACUUGCUCUUGGGAAAGCCAGUUGCCAUAUUGUAAGAACACUCAAGAAGCCCUGCAGAGAGGGCCACAUGAUGAGGAAAUGAGGUCUUCUUCCAACAGCCAGCACCGACUUGCCAGCCACGUGAGUGCACCAUCUUGGAAUCAAAUCUUCCACCUCUAAUUAGGCCUUCAGAUGGCUGCAGCCCUAGAUGACUUUUGACUACAGCUUCCUGAGACAUCCUGAACCAGAACCACUCAGUUAAGCUGCUCCCAAUUUCCUGAUCCAUAGAAAUGAUGUAAGAAAAUAAAUGUUUAUCGUUGUUUUAAGCCACUAAAUUCAGAAGGAAUUUAUUCCAUAGGAACAGCUAAAAUAAACACAGUAUAUCCAGA